UUAAGGGUAGUGUGUUCUAUCUGCAAAAGUCGACCUCCCUUAUUUGAUCAUCACAAGUGAUGGGGGAGGGUGGGAGGACUCCAAGAAUAAAAGGUAACAUCAGCUGGAAAAUCUAUCACUUGUAGAUAAUGGCUAUCUCCAAAUCCUGAGAGUGCAGGCCUGAUCUAUAUUAUCACACGCCCAAUGACAUCAUAAUGACCCACCUUCCCAACUCUGAUUGUAACCCAUUAGUCAUCCCAUGCUCAGUCACGACUGUAGAUAGUACAGACUGGACAUAAUUGGCAGAGGAAGAAAGAGGAGAAGGAAUAGAAUCAAACCAGAGAGGUCUUCUGCAGCUCUAUUCCAUGUUACUGUCAUUGGGGGUUCAGUCUGACAGAACAACGUCUAACAUCACCAGUCUCCUUGCAGAUGAAAAAAGGUGCACGGUAAGUCAAGCGUUGGAUUUUAAAGCUUCUUGGAUGUGAAACACAUUAUUCAAUUCACAGUUCAUUGGACAAAGAAGUUAUAUGACCAGGGUUGAUGUUAAAGAAGCCAGAAAAUGUAAUCGUCCUCCUAGAAAGGUACAGCAAAUAUUUUGAACAAUAAUAGUAUCACCACAUCUGUUCAAGUAGUUUGCUAAUAUUGGCUCUAGAAUUACAAAGCCGUGCCAGUGGAAGAGUCCCUUAUGCGUUAAUUAAUUUAAGAAAUUUGACCCCAAUGCAGCCCUAAGUGAAUUAAAGUGGGAGUCUGAAAACUUUUUCUGUAAAGAGCCAGAUAGUAUAUGUUUCCUUCUUUGUGGGUCAUACAGUCUCUGCUGCAACAAUUGCAACUUCUCAAGUCCACUAAUAUAGCCAGAAAGUGGCCCUAGUUAUAACAGAAACAAAUAGGCAUAUCUAUGUUCCAAUAAAUCUUUAUUAACAAAACAAUCCGUGGACUGGAUUUUAUCUUGCUGACCAUUUGCCAAUCUCAGAAUAGAUUCAUUCUUGUCUAGUUAGAGUAGAAAUUUGGAAUAGCCUGUUGAGAUCUGGAGUUUUAUCCAUUCUCACUGAAAGAAAUUGCACUAAUGGAUACAAACUAAAAUUUUGUUUAUGGCGGGUCAUAUUCCACUAUAAGGCCAACCGUAUUUAUUUUAAAGCUGUUAGUUCUGGGAAAGAUAUUCUGAGAGGCAGAGGUGUCAUUCGAAAAAUCAUUUUCAAUGUACUCACCUUCGUAAACAGGCUAUAGAAAAAAUGCUCUAUGACAUCUUCUGGGCUGAUUGGAGCAUGCAGGCAACUGAGAAGGCAUUGCAAGGGGUGUGGAUUAAGACAAGAAUGAGAAAUUCUAAUUUAAUUCUUACAGUUGAAUUAAAGGGGGUAGUUACCUGAAAACUGUACUCAUUUCAUCAUGGUCCUGGAAAAAGCACAAAACUAUAUUGCUACUUAUCUUCUAAAUGGACAUAAUCAUGAUCUAGCCACAUGCUAUAACCAAAGGAUAAUUAUGCCUGUAUCUUUUGAACCUUUCUAGGAGUUCUUGUAGGUAACCACAAACAUAGAUAUGUCUAAUAGAGUUGACAAAGUAAAACAAUAUUAUUCUACUGGAUUGAGGCUUUCUGAAAAUAUUUAAUAAAAUUAUAUUGCUCCAUUUUGUUUUAAGAAUGAAAACCUGUGUUUUCUUGCGAAGAAUAGGAUAUAUGCAAAGUACUUUCAACUUUCUUCCCCCAAAAAAUGCAGACCUAAAUACAAAGAAGAAAUGUUAAUUGAUUCAUUGAACUUUUGAAGCAACUAUUUAACAUUUUCAAUAAAAAGAAGCCUACCUCUAAUCCCAGGCGGCAGCUUUACUAAAGACAUACAUUAUAAUUAUGCUUCUGUUUUCAUUUCCUGCUAAUAACAGUGACUAGGAAAGUCUGCUUUCUACAUCUGGAUUUCAAACCAUCAUUCAGACAAAGCUUCAUUAAACCCACCAAACGCUAAAGGUCACUGUGGUUUUCAUAUGUUUGUGUUGUAGCAACUAAAUGUUGCAAAAAUGAUCAGCUGCCAGCCAAAUUUAGAAACACCAGAAAAUAGCAAAAGUAAGAUGAGGACAUACAUGAUAUGUUUAUCCAUUCAACAAAUAGAAACAUAGAUCAAUACAAUAUAGCCCUUGCCCUCAAGGAAAUCAUUCUACAUGGAUGACUGAAGCUUAAAUUGACAAUUAGAAUAUUUCAUGUAAAUAUGAAGUUGAUUUCCAUUAAAUGGCUCGACUGAACUGAUCCAGAAAAUCAUCUUUCUUAUUUCAAACACACAGAAAUGCCAUUUAAAAUAUAACAAAUACACAUUAAAUAUAUAGUUGAGCUCAAAAUAUAAACAAGAAAAAAAAAUCUCCAAAUAAAGAGGGAAGUUAACGUUGGAGUGUGAGUGGAAGCUGAUGCCCAGGGGCUCAUGGGCAUUAUUACUGGCUCAAGCCUUGGACUCUACCACUGUAAGUGAAGGAGACUCUUUGUGCUGAGAAUUAGAAAUGAAUUGCUGCAUAAAACCAAGAUUCAUAAAGUCUGACCCAUUUAUAAAAUUGAAACUAUACAAACUCCUAAAACCCAGGAAAAAUGGCUCAAAAUCUUACAGCCUGUCUGAGGUCAUGAGCAGAAAGAGUGACCCAAAAGGAAUCAUCAUCUCAGGCUUUCUUCCCUUCAGUGAAGUCAGAGUUCACAAUCCACAAUCCACACCCCAAAGUAGUUCAAUGAAAAGGUCUAUUAGAGUUGACUAUUCCUGAAACGACAUGCUUACAACCCAGGAAAAACAGAAUUUUCACAGAAUAUAGCUCCUGAUGCAGAUGAACUUUAAAUUUUAAAAAUUAUAAAGCAUGCAUGAAGUCAAAAAUUGACAGAGAAGAGAGAGAGACAGAGAGAGAGAGAGAAAGCAAGCAUAUCAAACAGAAGAUAACUGGAUAAUUAAUUCAAAAGUGAAUUUAAAGUAAGUGGAUUUAAAAAUGUUUAGAUGAUAAAAAAUAAUAAAUGUUCUAAGAACAAUACAGUAUGGUAUAGGUAGAGACACUGUUGAAAAACAGCCAAGCACAUUUCU